rnacentral:rRNA from 1 species
UUUAUAUGAGAGUUUGAUCCUGGCUCAGGAUGAACGCCGGCGGUGUGCCUAAUACAUGCAAGUCGUACGCACUGGCCCAACUGAUUGAUGGUGCUUGCACCUAAUUGACGAUGGAUCACCAGUGAGUGGCGAACGGGUGAGUAACACGUAGGUAACCUGCCCCGGAGCGGGGGAUAACAUUUGGAAACAGAUGCUAAUACCGCAUAACAACAAAAGCCACAUGGCUUUUGUUUGAAAGAUGGCUUUGGCUAUCGCUCCGGGAUGGACCUGCGGUGCAUUAGCUAGUUGGUAAGGUAACGGCUUACCAAGGCGAUGAUGCAUAGCCGAGUUGAGAGACUGAUCGGCCACAAUGGAACUGAGACACGGUCCAUACUCCUACGGGAGG